AAUGCAUCUUCUGACUUAGGAUGAUUCCUGUCAGUUUGAAGCCUUGACAGUACCAUUUAACAACUGACAAGAUGUACAGUGAACUGCCUGAGCAUCAGCUUGAAGUAGGCAACGAGAAGUUUCUUUGGGGCAUUUUCACAAGCAGAUCAGGACAAGUAAAUAUGAAUAUUUGCAGUCUUCUGUGAGGAAACUGGUGUCCUACAGCCUGAGGAGAAAAAGACCACUUUAUGAAAUGCUUCCACUUGGCGUAGUGCCUCGAGGCGAAGUCAAGUGGGUGCCCUGUUUGCCCAAAGCGAGAGCUUGACAAAGUGAGCAAGGACCCAGAAACUGAGACACCUGGAGAUCAAGUGACUUAACAACGUACAGAGAAUCUUUGUGUAUAUCUUUGUCUUGUGAACUCUGGGGUCUGCACAAGCAGAAAUUCAAGUACCAUCCAGUUAAGAUCUGAGUCACUGGGUCGUGUUAAGAAAAGAGUCACAGACCCCCCCACACUCAAAGCAGGACCAACUCUGGUGUUUGACAAGGUUGCUUAAUGUCAUGCUGCAAGAUGCCAGAGGAGGGUAACUGACCCAUGAUUUUGAUGCAAGGAACAGACUUAGAGUUGUGAGAAGAUGAACUUCUGUAGCCCAAAGUAGAUAGUGCUCAUCAUAGACAACAAUCUCCCGGACUUUCUCAUGGAAUACCUCAAGCACUCCUGUGCCUUCAGGAUAUGGUUGACAGCAUUGCACAAGUGUGACUGAGAUCCUGAUAAGCAAGUGAAAUGACAUGGAUGCAUAAGUUUACCAAAAACAGAGCUAAGAGAAUUUUGCUGUGGUGACAGACGGAACGAAGCUUUGGUGAAUAUGGAUUGAGAAUGCUUUGGUACCUGUUACAGAAGCUCCCUGAAGGGAAGCCACUGAGCCCUUCUCACUGGUGACCAGUGUGGCUUCUGUGGCACCUUCUCCUGAGGAAGAGGAGGAUGUUGCGCUUUCCCUUCUCUCCUGUGGCUGUGACUCCCAGACUUUUUCCUCAGUCUGUGGCCAGGUGGCUCGGUCCAGCGAUGCAGAGAUCACGGUGCAACGUAACACAAAGUGAUACCUGGCUGCCCAGUUAUCCCGCUCUCCGGUAUCUGCGCUGACUUGGAGCCUCGCAGCUUCAGGCCUGUCAGCCAACAGGAGCUCGUCUAUGCAAAUGUGCUACAAGAAAAUGAGGUCUAUAAAUAAUAGACACCUUGGGCCUGCACGUCACUACAAGGACUCUCCCCCCUCACGUCUACCAGUCAGUUCCAGCAGACUUGGUCCCUCUGGAUGGGCACGAGGAGGCUCCUGCUCCACAUCCCAGCCAAGUGAGCUUGUGGGCUCCUCUCCGACAGAGGCUGGCAGGCUCUCCCUCUCCCUGGAAGGACAGAUGUGUGCAUGGACUGAUGGACCUGCCUCUGAGCCUCUCCGUGAUGUGACCACCUCUGCAGACCACAGUGGGAGUAAAGCACAUCUCCUGCGCUGCUGCUGAGAGUUUUGUUGACGAGGUUCUAGGAAAUGUUGACCCAAAUAAGUGGGACUGGGAAGAAGAGUGUUCAGAACAGUAGUAGGAGUGAAGAGGUGACACGUCAUUGCACCUCAAUGACUCAAGAGAAAGACGGGAUCCUGAGGGCCUGGUGACUGCAGUGGGAGUUUGUUGGCCCACGGUGCAGCCGAGCAAAAUACAAGAAAUACAAGCUGUGGCACAGAUCAGAGCUCAGAUGGGACAGUCCUGUAACCAGUCUGAGAAGUGCCAGGCCCUUGCCAAUGAGCUACUUGCAACACACAAGGAACAAAGAGAAAUUUGACUUUGAACUGUGCUGUCCCGUAUCCAGGAGACCAGUUGCAUUUUCCCGUGCUGUAUGAAUAAUACUCUUCUUUUAUCACCUUGUACCUAUUCCGUACCAAUACCUAACCAAUCUGCCUAUGAAUAUAAAGCAGCUGCUUAUGCACUGUAGAGUAACGUGGCAUCAGACCCCAGGCAAAGAACAUCCAUGGUAUUGCACCAGAUCAUGGCAUUUAACUUGCUGUAGUGACAAAGCAGGAUCCGCUCCUGCCUUGUCAACUGUGCAGUCCCGUGUGACAUGGACAACCUGCAUUUGGUCCUCUGACUUCUCUGGAACACAAAUAGUUGGUGAAAAGGAGGUGGAGGAACGGUGCUUUUCUAAAAUUUGCCCGCUUAAAACCAGCCAUGUGGAGCUGCAACUUAGUCCCUGCUGGUGAAGUUUUCUCUUCUAGAAGCAAAACCGUAAGUGUUAGGAAUGAUCUGAAGUCUGUCAUUUCAGAUGUGAUGAUUACACUGUGAAAAUCCAAUUAAUUAAAGUCCGUUCAGCUUGAAA